GAUGUCUGGCAUGGACCGACUGGCCCGCUUCUUCGGAAGUGUGCUGCCGGCUCGGUUCAGCCAUCCUUCUAGUUAUCGAUUCUAACCUUCACUGGUGCGGGAUCGAGAGCUAGAUCUUUUACUUUGAAAAAAUUAGAGUGUUCAAAGCAGGCGUACCGCUGUGAAUACAUUAGCAUGGAAUAAUAAGAUAGGACUUUGGUUUUAUUUUGUUGGUUUCUAGGACUGAAGUAAUGAUUGAUAGGGAUAGUUGGGGGUGCUAGUAUUCAAUGGCCAGAGGUGAAAUUCUUGGAUUCAUUGAAGACUAACUUAUGCGAAAGCAUU
rnacentral:rRNA from 1 species